UGACAUAGCUCAGUGGUAGAGCACUUCCUUGGUAAGGAAGAGGUCCCGGGUUCAAGUCCCGGUGUC
rnacentral:tRNA from 3 species